GGAUGGAAACAUGGACGAACAGAAAAUGGAGCAAACAGCAAAGUGGUGUGAAGCAGCUGGUCACACCAAGAUCCCACCAAAGCUGUGAGUGAAAUGACAUUUAUUCAAUUAUUACUUUUCUGGAAUAGAUUUGAUGAAGUUUUAAACACUAUUAUAAGCACUCUGACACUCAGGGAGGUUGUAAUGUUGUUUGCAGUUUUAACCCUUUAUUAGGGACUGAAACAUGUAGACAUGAGCGCCACACAAAAUUCAAACCUGGGAAAGAGGGGUAGGCUUACAGAAAAACCAAGUUUGACAACGGCAGUCAGUGAUUUCAGUGGAACCUCCACAUCCAUGUAAGCCAUUACCAACAUUUAUAUAUCACUGUAAUAACAAUUUGUUGGCAAACUUCAAAGCAUGAGUUAAAUAGACGACCAUGUGAACAUGAAUAAAUCUCAUGUUAAGGAAAUGUCAUGCUGCUCCAGAGAGUCCAGAUCACCAGUUUUUUGUUAACCCUGGUCCACCACCUCUCCAUCACCUUCAGCCACCAUGAAUCAAGAUCAAACAGAUCAGCUGAUUACAUUUCUUUAAAGGAGACUGCAUAUACUAUGGACAAUUCAGCUCAGAAUUCAGGAUAUGGAUUUGAAGCCAAACUGCUCUCGGUAUUUCCAGGAUUUUCUCCUCUUCCCUGCAAUCACCACUUUCAUAGUGGUGUUGUACAUAUUCGGCGGUAGAGUCUCUGUGAUGACACUCCGCUCAAACAGCGUUUCCCCCAGAUGAGCUACGCAAUCUUCGUACGCCUAUAGGCUGUAUCAGGUGUCAAUCAUAGAAAACAUGAACCCCCUAAUAACUUUUAAAAACUGAGCUGCACAGAAAAAAGAGGACUUGAGCACAAACCAGUCUGACAGUAACUACAUGUCAACAUCACAAGCAGGGAGGAGAAACAUGUAUAUUCUGUGUGCGUAAUUAAUUUCUAAAGUUUGUCCACAGCUCCAUAGAGAUUGCUGGAAGAGGCGGGAUUUAUGACCUAUGCCGCAGCCCGACACCAGAGGGUGCUGUUCUCGGAGUGGCUUCAGACAGUGAUGAUGACCUCUAUGGUUGAUACAGUCCAUGGUAAGAACUGCUUCACAAAGUUAUUAUGAACAGAAACAUGUUUUUGAAACACAAAAUAAUGUUGGAAUAAGCCUUUUAAAACGAACACUUCGUCCAGUUCAACAGAUUAUCAAUAACAUCUGCUGCUUCAUGACACUCACUUUAUUACAUAUUUUAAAUUUGGCAGCUUUGUAUUUUAGUGUUAGUUUUUAAACGAAUGAAGUAAGAUGAUUGUUACUUAUUUCCUAAUGCAGGGAUGAUGAGGAGGAAGAGAAAGCUGAGUAAGACGACUGUGGCUCCUCUCCACCCAGCGUAUUCCUCUCCCCCACAGCCUGCCGCUGCCGCGCCCCCCACUCUGCCCCUGUAGCCCACUGUCCGCCGCUACCGCCAGCCCAUCACCCUCCACCAUAAAUUAGCACAAUCGAUGCUAAAUUAAAUAUCAUAAACCGUGUUUUAGAAAAAUCUAUUUGAUGUAUAUUUCAUUUAAAGUAUGUCCCAUCUGUUUACAUGGAGGAGUCGGGCUUUAUCACCUAUUCUGCAGUUAACCAGAAGGGGGAGCUUCACUUUCAGGGAGUUUUCUUGUUUGCGUAUUUCUUUACAUGAUGAUUUACUAAAUGUACAUGAUGAACUCUCUGGACGAGCUAACAAACGGACCUUUUCUUCACCGUCUCCACCUCCAUCUGUGACAAAGUUUAUUUUUAUAUGCUGCUCACCUAAGAAGUGAAAGUGUAGUUUGUAGUUUUGGAGAAAAGAGGAUGAAUGGUAAGGUUAGUGUAAAGAAAUAAGCAGAUGUCAGUGUUUUGUCAUAAACAUAAUUGUACUCUCUGUUUUUCUGCACACCAACAGCCCUGCUCUUCCUUAUGUUUGUGUUGUAAGUUAGCACUACCUGUAAUGUCACCAAGUCAUGAAUCAGCCAGUGUUUGAACCUGCACUUUAUCCCCACUCGGAUUUCAAGUCCUUUUUAUUCCUCUUUCCUUUAUUACGCUAAACAUGUCGUAUCUACACCCUUUGUUGGAUUCUUCUGUUAUGAAUAAAAUCAAGUGUUUAU